GCUAGUGUGGCAGAGCCCGGCAAUUGCAAAAGGCCUAAGCCCUUUCAUCCAGAGGUUCAAGUCCUCUCACUAGCU
rnacentral:tRNA from 1 species